rnacentral:rRNA from 1 species
AUUGAACGCUGGCGGCAGGCCUAACACAUGCAAGUCGAACGAGUGGCGGACGGGUGAGUAAUGUCUGGGAAACUGCCCGAUGGAGGGGGAUAACUACUGGAAACGGUAGCUAAUACCGCAUACCAUCGGAUGUGCCCAGAUGGGAUUAGCUAGUAGGUGGGGUAACGGCUCACCUAGGCGACGAUCCCUAGCUGGUCUGAGAGGGUGACGAGGCACACGGGAACUGAGACACGGUCCAGACUCCUACGGGAGGCAGCAGUGGGGAAUAGUGCACGAUGGGCGCAAGCCUGAGGCAGCCAUGCCGCGUGUGUGAAGAAGGCCUUCGGGUUGUAAAGGACUGUCAGCGGGGAGGCGGUACUCGCAGAAGAAGCACCGGCUAACUCCGGGCCAGCAGCCGCGGUAAUUC